rnacentral:tRNA from 1 species
UCCCCAGUGGCUCAGCAGUAAAGAAUCUGCCUGCAAUGCAGGAGACUCAGGUUCAGUCCCUGGCUUGAGAA